UCGGCGGAGCCAGCGGGCGAGCGAGCCAGGAACGGAGACCGCUCGAAGCAGUAUGGACAGGGCCAUACCAAGCCCUGCUGGCCACCCCUACAGCUGCCAAAAUACAAGGCUUUACUCCUUGGAUCCAUAUGUCACGACUAAAGGCAGCCCCUCCUCCAGAGGACAAGAAUCCUCAACCCAGCAGUGAUUCACCAGAUACCUCGUGGUUGCGAGCCUUUGGACAGCCUCCGCUUUCUCUUCAAAAGACAGGUCUGUUGCUGAGGAAUGCCUAAACUGAGUCUGGAUUCCUGAAGUUAGUCUUCUUUGCUCUGAAGUAGAUCUGGAUCUGAGACCACGGUAACUUUGGGAGCAGUAUCAAGAAGUUGUCAGUUAAGCUGGUGGACCUCUCAUUCUGCCGCCAUCAACAUAUCCACCUGACUGAAAGUAACUCAUCUGGAGUCAUCCAGAAGACUGCUGGGUACUUACUGUAUGAGGGCAGUUACCUUUGGGGGGGCAUAUAAAAAUGUAUGUAAAAUUCUAUGAAAUAGAUAUAAACUUUCAUUUAUGCAAGAUGAGUAAAUUCUGGAUAUAUGCUGUACAACAUACUGUAUACAGAUUGACAAAUCUUAUACAAUACACUUAAAAAUUUAAGAGGGUAGAUGUCACGUUAAACAAGAUAAAUUUAAAAAGUUUAAUAUAAAAUAGACAACUAAUAAGAACCUGCUGUAUAAAAAAUAAAUAAAAUAAAAUUUUUAAAAAAAGAAAGUUUAUUUCCACUGCAAUUCACAGAUGUAAUCUUUAUGAGGAUUACAUAAUCAUACAGAUAAUAUGUAAACAUAUAUCAUCACUAUGUAAAAGAAGAUGCAUAGAGACAUUUAUUCUUAAGAUCAAAAAGAAAGCUGGAUGGUACUUA